ACAGCAGUCGCCGCGGUAAUACAGAGGGUGCGAGCGUUAAUCGGAUUUACUGGGCGUAAAGCGUGCGUAGGCGGCUUCUUAAGUCGGAUGUGAAAUCCCUGAGCUUAACCUAGGAAUUGCAUUCGAUACUGUGAAGCUAGAGUAUGGGAGAGGAUGGUAGAAUUCCAGGUGUAGCGGUGAAAUGCGUAGAGAUCUGGAGGAAUACCGAUGGCGAAGGCAGCCAUCUGGCCUAAUACUGACGCUGAGGUACGAAAGCGUGGGGAGCAAACAGGAUUAGAUACCCCUGUAGUCCCUGUCUCUUAUAC
rnacentral:rRNA from 1 species